rnacentral:tRNA from 1 species
GGCGCCGUGGCUUAGUUGGUUAAAGCGCCUGCCUAGUAAGCAGGAGAUCACGAGUUCGAAUCUCGUAGGUGCGUAACG